AUUGAACGCUGGCGGCAUGCCUUACACAUGCAAGUCGAACGGUAACGGGCCUUCGGGUGCCGACGAGUGGCGAACGGGUGAGUAAUGUAUCGGAACGUACCUUUCAGUGGGGGAUAACGUAGCGAAAGUUACGCUAAUACCGCAUAUUUUGUGAGCAGGAAAGCAGGGGAUCGCAAGACCUUGCGCUGAUUGAGCGGCCGAUAUCAGAUUAGCUAGUUGGUGAGGUAAAGGCUCACCAAGGCGACGAUCUGUAGCGGGUCUGAGAGGAUGAUCCGCCACACUGGAACUGAGACACGGUCCAGACUCCUACGGGAGGCAGCAGUGGGGAAUUUUGGACAAUGGGGGCAACCCUGAUCCAGCCAUGCCGCGUGAGUGAAGAAGGCCUUCGGGUUGUAAAGCUCUUUCGGCCGGGAAGAAAUCGCAUAGGCUAAUACCCUGUGUGGAUGACGGUACCGGAAUAAGAAGCACCGGCUAACUACGUG
rnacentral:rRNA from 1 species